rnacentral:rRNA from 1 species
CUCAUCAUUUAAACUGGACUUCCCUGAUCUAUCUCAGCUCAGAANCUAAGCAGGGGUAGUUCUGGUUAGUACUUCGAUGGGGGACUACAGAGUGCCAGAUACUGUAGAUU